CGCAGCUGGCUGGUGGGAGCACCAGUCAAGUAUGUUUUCCUCUGGAACUAAACUGCAGGAAAAGAAAAAAUUCUGAAUAUGCACUGCAUCAGGAUUAAAGACAAAUUCUGAAGUUUGCUUCCAGAGAAAAUGUUGGUGCAUUCAAACCCUAUUAAUGUACAGCGGAGGGAGUGCCAAAGGACGAGAGCACUCCACAAAUACAGCUGUGAUUCCAUGAAGUCAGAGCAAGCAGCUCCUUGCCCACAAGAUGAGCUUCCAGUACGCAUCAUCACUAGCUGGUAAGGGAUCACCGAUGAGCUCUCCAUCCUGUCAUACCCAGAAGAAAGUUUGCUACUGAUUUCAGAGGAGCAAAAAUUUCACCCCACAGGAAAUCAAGCAUUUAAACAGAUCGUCACCCAGUUCUUCAGCGGCACUCAGUCCACAAGCCUUCCACCAAGGGAAGAGAAGGGAUGGUUGUGGGAGCUACAUGCAAAGAACAUAUCAAAGAAUUACAGUAUGAAGGCAACCACUCUUCUUUCUUCAUGUUCUGGCACCUGUGAAACUCCUUCUGGGUGUUUCAUUAGGAGUGCAGUCACAUCAGUGAUUGCAAGCUGUUCUUUGGAACAAAGACUGAAGAACCAGUGUCCUCCAGGCCUCUGUGCCACCAGCACAAGUACUGCUUCGUGACUAUCAGUGAUCGUGUGGUGUUUCUACAGCCUUCAUCUACUGGAACUCUGCAGUAGAUGCUGUGCACAUGCUGUGGCAGUACUUUGUGCUCUAGUUGUACAUGCCUUGAGAUGGGUUGGUGGGUCUAACCUGAUAGCAUCAAACAUGUCUCUGAUAAAGUCUGCUAACCCAUUUUUCAUGAGUUUGAACUUGAUGCUACGUCUUUUUAGAUUUGAUCCUGAACAACAAAGGCUGUUUGAGACCAAAGAGCAUCACAGAUUUGCAGAAGAGAUUUCUCUGGCUAAGGCAGUACAUUCAUGAGGAUCAACAUUUUGAUCCUUCUACUGGGGAACUGGGUCAUGGGAGAAAAUAUUGGUUACAUUACCUCCAGUUUUGGGCACUGCACAUCACGAAAGAUGGAAAAUAAAAGCAAAGCUGCAAGAAUGCCUGGAGAUCAAGAAAAUAAGUUAUUCUC